rnacentral:rRNA from 1 species
UACGUAGGGUGCGAGCGUUGUCCGGAAUUAUUGGGCGUAAAGCGCACGUAGGCGGCCGACUAAGUCGGGUGUGAAAGCCCAGGGCUCAACCCUGGAAGUGCACUCGAAACUGGUCGGCUUGAAUAUGGAAGAGGGUCGCGGAAUUCCCGGUGUAGAGGUGAAAUUCGUAGAUAUCGGGAGGAACACCAGUGGCGAAGGCGGCGACCUGGGCCAAUAUUGACGCUGAGGAGCGAAAGCGUGGGGAGCAAACAGG